rnacentral:rRNA from 1 species
GGGGAAUAUUGCACAAUGGGCGCAAGCCUGAUGCAGCGACGCCGCGUGAGGGAUGACGGCCUUCGGGUUGUAAACCUCUUUCAGUAGGGAAGAAGCGAAAGUGACGGUACCUGCAGAAGAAGCGCCGGCUAACUACGUGCCAGCAGCCGCGGUAAUACGUAGGGCGCGAGCGUUAUCCGGAAUUAUUGGGCGUAAAGAGCUCGUAGGCGGUUUGUCGCGUCUGCCGUGAAAGUCCGGGGCUUAACCCCGGAUCUGCGGUGGGUACGGGCAGACUGGAGUGCAGUAGGGGAGACUGGAAUUCCUGGUGUAGCGGUGAAAUGCGCAGAUAUCAGGAGGAACACCGAUGGCGAAGGCAGGUCUCUGGGCUGUUACUGACGCUGAGGAGCGAAAGCAUGGGGAGCGAAC